ACAUGUGCGCGAGUCAUUGGGUCUUGAAUAGGCCCAAAGGCGUAAUGAAAGUGAAGGGCGGUUCGGCCGUCUGCCUUGGGAUCCCGUGAACCUCGCGUUCGCGGGCGCACCAAGGGCCCGUCCCGGUCGCCUCGUCGACGGGGCGGAGCAAGAGCGUACACGUUGGGACCCGAAAGAUGGUGAACUAUGCCUGGGCAGGACGAAGCCAGAGGAAACUCUGGUGGAGGUCCGCAGCGAUUCUGACGUGCAAAUCGAUCGUCAGACCUGGGUAGGGGCGAAAGACUAAUCGAACCAUCUAGUAGCUGGUUCCCUCCGAAGUUUCCCUCAGGAUAGCUGGCGCUCGGAGGAUGCAGUCUCAUCCGGUAAAGCGAAUGAUUAGAGGCCUUGGGGUCGAAAAGACCUCAACCUAUUCUCAAACUUUAAAUGGGUGAGAAGUCCGGUUUGCUCGACUGAAGCCCGGACGGCAACUUGGAUGCGAGUGCCAAGUGGGCCACUUUUGGUAAGCAGAACUGGCGCUGUGGGAUGAACCAAACGCCGGGUUAAGGGGCCCGAUGCGAGACGCUCAUGAGAUCCCAUGAAAGGUGUUGGUUGCUAUAGACAGCAGGACGGUGGCCAUGGAAGUCGGAAUCCGCUAAGGAGUGUGUAACAACUCACCUGCCGAAGCAACUAGCCCUGAAAAUGGAUGGCGCUUCAGCGUCGACCCCAUACCCGGCCGCCGCGGCCGAAAAGCCUCGUGUUUUAAGCCGCGGUGAGUAGGAGGGGCGCGGAGGCGAGCGUCGAAGGUGCCGGGCGUAAGCCCGCCUGGAGCCGCCUCCGGCGCAGAUCUUGGUGGUAGUAGCAAAUACUCAAGUGAGAACCUUGAGGACUGAGGUGGAGAAGGGUUCCAUGUGAACAGCAGUUGAACAUGGGUCAGUCGGUCCUAAGGGAUAGGAGAAAUCCGUUCCGAGGCGGGACCUCUAUCAAUUAUUGAAAGUCCCGCUGAUGACCGAAAGGGAAUCGGGUUAAUAUUCCCGAACCCGGACGCGGAGAUCGUCCUCUUCGGAGGUACAUUGCGGUAACGCAAACGAGCUCGGAGACGUCGACGGGAGCACCGGGAAGAGUUAUCUUUUCUUUGUAAGGAUUCGACUCCCUGGAAUCGGCUCGCCCGGAGAUAGGGAUGGUGUUUCCGUAAAGCACCGCGCCUCUUGCGGUGUCCGGAUCGCUCCCGUCGGCCCUUGAAAAUCCGAGUGAGAGAUAGUGAUUUUCGUGCCGGACCGUACCCAUAUCCGCAGC
rnacentral:rRNA from 1 species